GCUGAACACAUUUUGCUGUGUCCUGCUUGGGAAAUGUGUCAUUUCAAGCCCAGUCUAAAGUAAGGAGUUGGUGUUCUUUGCAGAGAUGUUACAUAACUGAAUUGAACAGCUGGUUGUUAAUGCAGUGAUGUCUUUUUCCUUUGGACACUGACAGCUCGUUCGAGAUGUCCGUUUUUCCUCACCAGGUGUGUCUGCAAAGGAAGUGAGAACCAGAAGGCAUGAAUAUUCCAUCUGGAGUGAAAUAAGGUGAUAGUGUUCCUACACACACAGUGAAUACACUCGUGGCAUAAGCAGGCAUGCUGUGAGCUGUCUUAAGGAAGUGUUGUCUGUAAGCUUGCCAAACAGGGUCAUUCCAUGUUUUUCAGCAUCUGUCUAGCAGGCGCAUGUCAGAUUCUCCACGCAGUGAGGGAAUUUAAAUAUCAAAGCAUCAUCCUGGGUAAAGUCACAUACUCCUGAACCUUUCAUGAACAUGCUCUGAUAUUUCUCUCUCUCUAUUCACACACACACAUACACUAUUCGGUUGAAAGUUGCUUUAUUGUCAUUACUGCAAAAGAGGAUAAUUUUGCCAUUGUUGUAAUGUUGCCAAGAUUAGUGUCUACAACAAUAAUCAUGCAAAUGUGUUUUUUUGUUUGUUUUUUUGUUUUUUGAGAUGGCUAUUUUCAGAACAUUUUCAGAAGAGACUGAAAAACUAAAAUGUCCAAGUCAGUUGUUAAAAUAUUAUAAGUCACAUCUUGGGAGAUGUUCUUCACUUAAUAUAAGCUUUUCAAUUUCUAUUUUUCUCUCUCGUUUUUGAGUUUACUGCUCAA